rnacentral:rRNA from 1 species
UACGUAGGUGGCAAGCGUUGUCCGGAUUUACUGGCGUAAAGGAGCGCGCAGGCGGUCGGAUCAGUCGAAUGUGAAAGCCCCCGGCUCAACUGGGGAGGGUCAUUCGAUACUGUCCGACUCGAAGGCAGGAGAGGGAAGCGGAAUUCCCGGUGUAGUGGUGAAAUGCGUAGAUAUCGGGAGGAACACCCGUGGCGAAGGCGGCUCUCUGGGACGGUACUGACGCUGAGACGCGAAAGCGUGGGGAGCGAACAGG